rnacentral:rRNA from 1 species
GACGAACGCUGGCGGCGUGCUUAACACAUGCAAGUCGAGCGGAAAGGCCUCUUUCGGGGGGUACUCGAGUGGCGAACGGGUGAGUAACACGUGAGUAACCUGCCCUUGACUUUGGGAUAACUUCAGGAAACUGGGGCUAAUACCGGAUAGGAGCUCCUGCUGCAUGGUGGGGGUUGGAAAGUUUCGGCGGUUGGGGAUGGACUCGCGGCUUAUCAGCUUGUUGGUGGGGUAGUGGCUUACCAAGGCUUUGACGGGUAGCCGGCCUGAGAGGGUGACCGGCCACAUUGGGACUGAGAUACGGCCCAGACUCCUACGGGAGGCAGCAGUGGGGAAUAUUGCACAAUGGGUGGAAGCCUGAUGCAGCAACGCCGAGUGCGGGAGGACGGCCUUCGGGUUGUAAACCGCUUUCGCUCAUGACGAAGCUUUGUGUGACGGUAGUGGGUAAAGAAGCACCGGCUAACUACGUG